CAGCAGCCACGGGAAUACGAAGGGUGCAAGCGUUACUCGGAAUUACUGGGCGUAAAGCGUGUGUAGGUGGUUGUUUAAGUCUGUCGUGAAGGCCCUGGGCUCAACCUGGGAAUUGCGAUGGAUACUGGGCGACUAGAGUGCGGUAGAGGAUAGUGGAAUUUCCGAUGUAGCAGUGAAAUGCGUAGAGAUCGGAAGGAACAUCUGUGGCGAAGGCGACUAUCUGGGCCAACACUGACACUGAGACACGAAAGCGUGGGGAGCAAACAGGAUUAGAUACCCCAGUAGUCCCUGUCUCUUAUAC
rnacentral:rRNA from 1 species